rnacentral:rRNA from 1 species
UGAGUAAUGCGUGACCAACCUGCCCAUGCUCCAGAAUAGCUCUUGGAAACGGGUGGUAAUGCUGGAUGCUCCAACUUGACGCAUGUCUUGUUGGGAAAGUGUUUAGUGGCAUGGGAUGGGGUCGCGUCCUAUCAGCUUGUAGGCGGGGUAAUGGCCCACCUAGGCUUCGACGGGUAGCCGGCCUGAGAGGGCGGACGGCCACAUUGGGACUGAGAUACGGCCCAGACUCCUACGGGAGGCAGCAGGC